rnacentral:lncRNA from 1 species
UGUAGUGUCACAUUGUGUGGCACCACAUUCUGCAAUUAUCCUUAAUUUCUGAGCAUGAGUGUAGAACUCACUGUCACAUGAGAACCACUGAAAGACUCAUGGAGUUUCUGAAUGUAGCCUGACCCAUUGCUGCAUAAAUCCACUCAUGUGAACCCAGCUAGUAAAUCUGGAUCAGGUGUUCCAAGAAUUGCAGCUGACGGUCUCAAGGUCAUGUCUCCACCAAUUUAUAGGCGAAGAAUGCAGGUGUACCAGAAUCUGUUGAAAAUAUAUGUGGUCCAUCCCUAACAUCCACUCGUGUCUGACCAGCAAAUGCAGCAUUAUGCAGAUAGUCCAGUGCAAGACCCUGUCAUGAGCCCAUUUUGGGUUAUAGCACAUUAACAUUAUUAUUAUUAUUAUUAUUAUUAUUAUUAUUGUGUCAUAAAUAUGAAUCAAACAGCAAAGGUCCUUCCAACACCUAAAGGUUAGAAAAUGUGUAGAAGGAAAAAAGAAGUUUCUGUUAAACUGGAGAAGGGAACCUACACUCAUCUGAAGAGAUCAGUAGAUAGAAUAUGAUUGCAAAAUUUUACACAGGUUCUACAUAAAAUAAUUUUGUAUGUUUCGAAGAGUAGUGGCUGUCAUAAGUUAUCUUUCUCUAACAGCAGUAUCGGUACCCUGCUGCAACAUUUGAAUACCUCCAAAGCUUCUCCUAAUAGUCAGAUCAAUAAUAAUGCCAACUUCCACUGUUGGCAAAAUCCAUUGUCCAGAGAAGUGUGUAACAAUGUGCACAAGAGAUGUGCAGGUGUUCAGCAAAACUGCAGGAGAAGGCUUUCUAGACCUUGCACAAACACUGCCAGAAAUGGAGCACAGUACCCCAAUGCAAGUGCAAGAGACAUGCUUCAUUACCCGCCAACAAUUUCUCUGAAAUGUUGCAGGACAUAGAGAGUCUUGUGUUUGCAUAUACAAUUGACAUGUGGACAUAAGCGUACACUAAAAUGCAUUACUUGACUCUUACUAUGCAUUCAGUCUCAUGAGAAUUGCAGUGCAAAACUCAGGUCCUGUUCGUUGGAUAGCUUCCAUCUGAUAUGGAGAAAAGUACUACAAAUAUACUGGACGAAACUGAAACUAACAUGAGCAAGUUAAGGAUAUUUGCAAGCCACCUGUAGAGGAUGACUGGCCAGGGGGGCAAACAUGAAAAAGGCACAAGAGAACUAUUGUCAUUUUCCAUAUAACAAGCACUCCUUCAGGACUUUUCUGUGCCACGCCCUUGAGGACAAAUGCUUGCAGGUAUCCUGCCUUAAAGUUUAUGCACAAUUGGAAUCAAUGAAAAAUGUCAUAAAUUAUUUAAAAAGAAGUGACCUUGCAAAACUCAUAGUUUACCGUAAAGCAGCACACUAAGACUUUGCUGGAAUACCUUGUGUACCAUGCUAAAAUGCGUGUUUAUGGAGCAUGAACAAAUUGCUGAAUUUUUAUGUGACUUCAGAAAACCACACAUGUCUGGGAGCUGGGAUUGCCAAGUAAGGUGACAAAUUAAUUCAGUUUCUCUAACUACUUCAAACACUAUUGAAGCUGACAGUCGUCUGAUGCAGCAGUUGCUUAUGCCAUUGGUGUACCAGGUUCAGGAACACUGUGCUGAUAAUGCAGCUAACAGUAAGGAAACAGCAUUGCUGAAGGCAUGCUCAAAUACCUUAAUUGAAAAAAAUGGAAAUAAAGCCAGUGCUUUUGUUUGCAUUAUUUCUAGUACCACAGUUGCAUCAGCUAGAGCAACUCUCAGUAACUGAGAGAGGGAAGUUUAUGCCACAGAAAAUUCCAAACGUGCUGCGUUUCAAGAAAGUCAUACAGAGAACAUGCAGAAAGAAUGUCUUUUCAUUGUGAGUGGAAGGGGAGGAAACUAUCAAAGACAUUUCCAUGUGUCUGUUGAUGGGAAUACCAGAUGAGAGGCAGUCGUUUCUGAAGUGGUGGAAGUCAAGAGCAAAAUCUUAUCCCAGACUGUCACAAGUGGCAGAAGAAGUUCUGUGUACAGCUACCUCAAGUGCCUCUAGUGAGAGCGUAUUUAGUGGAGAUGGGCUUGUCAUUAUGGAUAAAUAUAAUGGGAUGUAUAUGGAAAAUGUGAAUGACUUGCUUACAUUCUAUUUUUGUUAUUAUAAAUAUCUAACGUCUCAACUGUUUGUUUCAGGUAUAAAUUCAUUGUGAAGGUGAUUACAACAUUACCAGAUGAAGACUACUUCUUUAUUUAGUUGAAGCAAGGAAGUUUACAAUAAACUUCACGAGUUUCUUGUCUGAA